rnacentral:rRNA from 1 species
CCCUUAGAUGGUCUGGGCGGCACGCGCGCUACAAUGAUGCAUUCAAAAAGUCUUCUGACCUUAGAAGGUUGGGUAUUCUCCAAAGUGCAUCGUGAUGGGAAUAGUUUAUUGCAAUUUUUAAUCUUGAACGAGGAAUUCCUAGUAAGUACAGGUCAUCAACUUGUGUUGAUUACGUCCCUGCCCUUUGUACACACCGCCCGUCGCUACUACCGAUUGAAUGGUUUAGUGAGAAUUUUGGACUGGAACUCCCUUGCUCAGCAAUGGGCGAGGGGGAGUCCGGGAAGCUAUUCUAACUGUAUCAUUUAGAGGAAGUAAAAGUCGUAACA